rnacentral:rRNA from 1 species
GUCCGUGCCGUAAACGAUGACAACUUGCUGUUUGGGAUUUUGGUUCCGGGUGGCGUAGCUAACGCGUUAAGUUGUCCGCCUGGGGAGUACGGCCGCAAGGCUAAAACUCAAAGGAAUUGACGGGGACCCGCACAAGCGGUGGAGCAUGUGGUUUAAUUCGAAGCAACGCGCAAAACCUUACCGGCUCUUGACAUCCCGUGAAGUUUACAGAGAUGUGAAUGUUCCCGCAAGGGACACGGUGACAGGUGCUGCAUGGCUGUCGU